rnacentral:rRNA from 1 species
AGCAGCCGCGGUAAUUCCAGCUCCAAUAGCGUAUAUUAAAGUUGUUGCAGUUAAAAAGCUCGUAGUUGAAUUUCGGGGUCAGUAGGCUGGUCGUGCCACGGGUAUGUACUGGUCUUACUGAUUCCUCCUUCCUGAUGAGCCGUAAUGCCAUUAAUUUGGUGUUGCGGGGAAUCUGGACUGUUACUUUGAAAAAUUGAGUGUUUAAAAGCAGGCUAACGCUUGAAUACAUUAGCAUGGAAUAAUGAAAUAGGACGAUCGAUCCUAUUUUGUUGGUUUCUAGGAUUGACGUAAUGAUUAAUAGGGAUAGUUGGGGGCAUUAGUAUUCAAUUGUCAGAGGUGAAAUUCUUGGAUUUAUUGAAGACUAACUACUGCGAAAGCAUUUGCCAAGGAUGUUUUCAUUAAUCAAGAACGAAAGUUAGGGGAUCGAAGACGAUCAGAUACCGUCGUAGU